AGGGAGAAUCUGUAAAGCUCAGGAGGGAUAGCGCCAUAUGAACAAAAUGGUUUAAUUUAUAUUAGGCAUUUGUUUUGGCGCUAUCUAUCCUGAGUUUCAUGGCUUCUUCUU
rfam:Prunus persica cultivar Lovell chromosome G6, whole genome shotgun sequence.